GAUGAACGCUAGCUACAGGCUUAACACAUGCAAGUCGAGGGGCAGCAUGGUCUUAGCUUGCUAAGGCUGAUGGCGACCGGCGCACGGGUGAGUAACACGUAUCCAACCUGCCGUCUACUCUUGGCCAGCCUUCUGAAAGGAAGAUUAAUCCAGGAUGGGAUCAUGAGUUCACAUGUCCGCAUGAUUAAAGGUAUUUUCCGGUAGACGAUGGGGAUGCGUUCCAUUAGAUAGUAGGCGGGGUAACGGCCCACCUAGUCAACGAUGGAUAGGGGUUCUGAGAGGAAGGUCCCCCACAUUGGAACUGAGACACGGUCCAAACUCCUACGGGAGGCAGCAGUGAGGAAUAUUGGUCAAUGGGCGAUGGCCUGAACCAGCCAAGUAGCGUGAAGGAUGACUGCCCUAUGGGUUGUAAACUUCUUUUAUAAAGGAAUAAAGUCGGGUAUGCAUACCCGUUUGCAUGUACUUUAUGAAUAAGGAUCGGCUAACUCCGUGCCAGCAGCCGCGGUAAUACGGAGGAUCCGAGCGUUAUCCGGAUUUAUUGGGUUUAAAGGGAGCGUAGAUGGAUGUUUAAGUCAGUUGUGAAAGUUUGCGGCUCAACCGUAAAAUUGCAGUUGAUACUGGAUGUCUUGAGUGCAGUUGAGGCAGGCGGAAUUCGUGGUGUAGCGGUGAAAUGCUUAGAUAUCACGAAGAACUCCGAUUGCGAAGGCAGCCUGCUAAGCUGCAACUGACAUUGAGGCUCGAAAGUG
rnacentral:rRNA from 1 species